rnacentral:tRNA from 1 species
GUCCCUGUAGCGCAAUGGACUUCUAAUACAAAGGUCGUGGGUUCGAAUCCCACCUGGGAUG